CGUAUUACAAUUCACUGGCCGUCGUUUUACAACGUCGUGACUGGGAAAACCCUGGCGCGGGGGAAACCCCGGCUAAUACCCCGUACGCUUGCCGGGGCGCAUGCUCCGGCAAGGAAAGGUAGCUUCGGCCAUCCGGCGAGGGAGGGGCCCGCGGCCCAUUAGCUAGUUGGUGGGGUAACGGCCCACCAAGGCGACGAUGGGUAGCUGGCCUGAGAGGGUGGUCAGCCACACUGGGACUGAGACACGGCCCAGACUCCUACGGGAGGCAGCAGCCAGGAAUCUUGCGCAAUGGGCGAAAGCCUGACGCAGCAACGCCGCGUGGGCGAUGAAGGCCUUCGGGUCGUAAAGCCCCGUUGUCGGGGACGAAGGGCGAAGGGUUAAUAGCCCCUAGCCUGACGGUACCCGACGAGGAAGCCCCGGCUAACUACGUGCCAGCAGCCGCGGUAAUACGUAGGGGGCGAGCGUUGUCCGGAAUCAUUGGGCGUAAAGAGCGUGUAGGC
rnacentral:rRNA from 1 species